rnacentral:rRNA from 1 species
UACAGAGGGUGCGAGCGUUAAUCGGAAUUACUGGGCGUAAAGCGCACGUAGGUGGCGACGUAAGUCGGGUGUGAAAGCCCCGGGCUCAACCUGGGAAUUGCAUUCGAGACUGCAUUGCUGGAGUACGGAAGAGGAGGGCGGAAUUCCCGGUGUAGCGGAUGAAAUGCGUAGAUAUCGGGAGGAACAUCAGUGCGAAGGCGGCCCUCUGGUCCAGUACUGACACUCAAGUGCGAAAGCGUGGGGAGCAAAC